GACGAACCGUGCGAACGUUGUUCGGAAUCACUGGGCUUAAAGGGCGCGUAGGCGGGCGGUCAAGUCGGAGGUGAAAGCCUGCAGCUCAACUGCAGAAGUGCCCCCGAUACUGAUGGCCUCGAGGGAGGUAGGGGCGUGCGGAACUUCCGGUGGAGCGGUGAAAUGCGUAGAUAUCGGAAGGAACACCGGUGGCGAAAGCGGCGCGCUGGACCUCUUCUGACGCUGAGGCGCGAAAGCCAGGGGAGCAAACGGG
rnacentral:rRNA from 1 species